rnacentral:misc_RNA from 1 species
GUAAUCCACUCCAUAUCUCUCUGAAGACAGUUAACGUCCAGGAAUGGAUCCCUCUUGAUCAGCAAAUUCUAAUAGCAAAGGAACUUUUCCAUUCUUCCAACCACAUGAGCCUAACAGUAGCUAACCCACAUACUCAAAAUAGCUUGCCACAGUCACCAAAUAAUCCACCAUCUCCUCAGCAGGUGGGAAGUCAAGCUUUUGUUCCACCUAUUCAUUGCUGGAAGAAAUGAGCUAGAAAUAAGAAAGUAAACUCUCUAGGGAUUCUUGUUCGGGAAUUGCUAGAUAAUCAGAAUACUGAUACUAUUCAAGGGGGCUCGAACACUACUGUUAUCGGAGAAAAGAGGACACCACUAGAGGAAGGGAAAGGUAGUAAUUACAAAAAGAUGUCUCUUUAUGAAAACUAUGGGAAGGUGGGGGAAGCUAGCCUCAAAUGGCCCCACCAGCCCCAAUGAAGAUUAUCAGUUGGAAUUGUCAGGGUGUGGGGAACCCCCUGACAAUCCAUAACCUCAAAGGGAUGUGCCAAUCCCAUUCCUCUGCUAUGGUUUUUCUCAUAAAGACAAAGAACAAGAAAAGACUGGUUCGUAGACAUCUCAAUCAUUGUGGGUUUUUUGACAUGGUUUUUGUUGACCCUACUGGUCUAGCAUGGGGUUUAAGUCUGCAUGGAAGGCAAAUUGUAAUAUUACUAUCAUUAAGUUAGCAAACUUUAUGAUCCAUGCUGUCGUUUUUGAUACCAAAACUCAAGUCUAGUGGGACUUACUACUUGUUCAUGUUAAUAUAGAAGAAGAUGUAA